rnacentral:lncRNA from 1 species
AAAAAUUACCACAAGCAUUGUAGCUUUAAAAAAUGUACAUUUCUUUGUCCACAGUUCUGUAAUGUCAGAUGUCAGAUAUUUAGGCAUGGCUAGCCUCCCUAUUCAGGGUCUCAGCAGCUGAAAUCAAGAUGCUAAAAGAGCUACUCUGAUCUGAGGUUCAGUUUCUUCAUCCUUGAUUAUUCAGGUUGUUGGCAGAACCCAGUCCCUUGUGGUUGUACAACCGAGAUCUCCUUCUACUGGCUAGCUUUUAACUAGGUGCUUCUUUCAUCAUUUACAGGAUACUCAUGUGCAUUCUCACGUGGCUGUCUCCAGGUGAGAAAUUCUCAUGUGGCUGUCUCCAGGCGAGGAAUUCUCACAUGUCAAAUCUCCCUCAUGCUUCAGAUCUCUGACUUUCUUUGCUUCUAAUCUCCAGACACAGAGUUAGAGGCCUCAUAUGAUUAGACCAAUCCCAUUCAGAUAAUCUUCUUACUUUAAGGUCAACUGAUUUGGUACCUUAAUUAAAUCUGCAUAAUCCUUUCCAGCAGUACUUGGUGUUUAAUUGAAUAACUGGGAGAAGUUGUGUGUACAGCAGAGGUCAGGAAUCUUGGUGGCUGUAGUGGAUUGGAUAAUGGCCCCCAAAAUAUAUGUUCUGCAAUUUCAGAAUGGGACCUUAUUUGGAAUAAAUAUCUUCAUCCACCAGAAGCCAGGAAUGAGUCAUGGACCCAGUGCUGCUUCAGGGCCUGACGAUGUUACCUACAAACACCUUAAGCUUGUACUUCUAGCCUCCAGAACUUUGAGGGAAUAUAUUUAUUUGGUUUUAGACCACCAGGUUUAUGGUAAUUUGUAAUAGCAGUCUUAGGAAAUGAAUACAGGGGGCAUUUUAGGAUUCCGUGUAUCACAGUUUCUACAAUUUUCUAGGCUGGGAGACAAUUCUCCGUGGAUCUGUUGCAUUUUUGCAUAUCCUGCAAAGCAAGGCAUUGUCUUUUUUUUUUUUUUUUUCUGAGCUGUAUCUGCAGCAUAAAACAGACGUAGUUACUGCUUCUUAGGAAAUAUUUGGCUCUCCAAGCUCAAGGAUCCUCUCUGUAAAACAGCUUUCUGUGUAUGCAGACUUUCAUCUGGGCUCAGUUGCAUCACUGCUGUGGGUUUUGUGGACAAGAAAGAUUGGUGCAAAUAGUCUGACAAUCAUGAUGCUUGCUGUGUCACGAGUUAAUAAAGUUCUUUGUCUCUAACCCAGGAGUCUCGUGUUUCCUAUCAGUUUCCAUAAAACUGUGGCAAGCUCACUUGUUAGUUUGCAAGUAGUGGUAAAAUCUGAGACCCUUUCUGGUUUCUAAAAGUAUAUGCUAUCAUAUCAUCUGCAAAGAGAGAUAGUUUUAUUGUUUAUGUUCAGUCUGUAUUACUCUUUUAUCUAAUUGUUACUAACACCUAAAAUGCAAUGUUAAAUAUCAGUGAAGACAGCGAGCAUCUUUGCUUUAUUCAUUAUCGGAGUGUAAAAGCUUUCAAUGUAUUCCUAUUAAGUAUGAUGCUGACUUUAGGAAAUAGACACACACAAACAUACACACACACACACACACACACACACACACACAUGAUCAUCCUAAG